rnacentral:rRNA from 1 species
UGGGCUUGACAUACACCGGACCGGGCCAGAGAUGGUCCUUCCCUUGUGGCCGGUGUACAGGUGGUGCAUGGUUGUCGUCAGCUCGUGUCGUGAGAUGUUGGGUUAAGUCCCGUAACGAGCGCAACCCUUGUCUUAUGUUGCCAGCACGUUGUGGUGGGGACUCAUGAGAGACUGCCGGGGUUAACUCGGAGGAAGGUGGGGAUGACGUCAAAUCAUCAUGCCCCUUAUGUCCAGGGCUUCACACAUGCUACAAUGGUCGGUACAGCAGGUCGCGAACUCGUGAGGGUGAGCUAAUCCGUUGAAAGCCGGCCUCAGUUCGGAUUGGGGUCUGCAACUCGACCCCAUGAAGUCGGAGUCGCUAGUAAUCGCAGAUCAGCAACGCUGCGGUGAAUACGUUCCCGGGCC